GUCCCUGAGACCCUAACUUGUGA
rnacentral:miRNA from 1 species